rnacentral:lncRNA from 1 species
UUUUGCAAUCAGGCGCCCACCUGGAUAACGAGGGAAUACAUUUCAAGUUUUGCAAUCAGGCGCCCACCUAGAUAACGAGGGAAUACAUUUCAAGUCUUUGCUAUCAGGCGCCCACCUGAAUAAUGAGGGAAUACAUUUCAAGUUUUCGCAAUCAGGCGCCCACCUGGAUAAUGAGGGAAUACAUUUCAAGUUUCAGCAAUCAGGCACCCACCUGGAUAACGAGGGUACACAUUUCAUGUUUGGCAUCAGGCACCCACCUGGAUAAUGAGGGAAUACACCUUAAGUUUUUGCAAUCAGGCGCCCACCUGGAUAACAAGGGGAUACAGUUUCAAGUUUCAGGAAUCAGGCACCCACCUGGAUAAUGAGGGAAUACAUUUCAAGUCUCUGCAAUCAGGCGCCCACCUGGAGAACAAGAGAAUUAAUUUCAGAGUUACUUCAACUCACAAAUUCAAGAAGUAUUAUCAAGAUCCCGCCUGAAGAGCAGAGUCCAUUUUCCAGUAGCAUAUUGAAGAUCAAGUAGAGAUUCAAGAAAGUCUCAGGACAAGAAGUAGAUAGGAUCUUGUAUUUUUCCUUUAAAUUUGCUGUAAAUUUUCCUUUUAUUUUCUAUGUAAUGGCAGGGACCGCGGACUGGAACCUCGACGGCACUUCACUCGACUCUCCACCUCGAUACUCCAUCGCUCCUCACUUCGAACUACACGUGGCCUGAUUCCUUUAUAGCAAAGGAUAUGUAGGCAGCUCCGAGACCAGGGCUCGACCACAUUCUCUGUUCUCCGGGUUUUGUUUUUUUUUUAAAAAUAAGGGUCGGGUCAAAAAUCAUGUCUUGUUGUUCUUUGUCUGAAAACACUUUGUGUUUCCCGUCAAAGAGGGGCAGCAGAGAUGUCACACCCCUUUUUUUACAACCAAACUCUUACUUAACCCCCUUAAAUAAAUAAAAGAAUUUUAGUAAAAGUUUGAAAGGGGUUUUCAAUUGAAAAGUGACAAAAAAUUGUGUCAAAAGGAAAAUAACUCAAAGUCGUCACCUUACUUUGAUUUCGGUGUGCCAGGUCACAGUUUUUUUUAAAAAAAAUAUUUAUUUUUCCUUUUAAAACAUUUCAGAAUCUAAAACCAAGUCCACACUAGAGAUUAUGAUAAGGGGGUUCAUUUGACUCGGGAGAAGAUAUUAGGCAUUCCCCAAGUCCCGUGAAGGUCACGAUUGAGUACUCGAUCUAGUUGACUUAUAGAAUAUUCAAUUGAGGUAAAAACACAAAAAUAAACACACAAAAGAGCUCGAGGUCGUCCCCACCUAAUAAGAAAAAUAAAAUACUAUUCUAUGCUUCCUCGAACCAUUCCAUCUUCGGCCUUCAAAUACAAAUACUUGGGGGCAUACCCCAAAUAAAAUAUAUAUACAAACCCCUUCGGGCAUACCCAGAUAAAUUUAACUAGGGAAACGUCCUCUCACCUCGAAAAAGCAAACAAGUAGAAAAAUCCUAAGAUUGCCUACCCAAGUAUUGUCGGCCUAAAACAUGCCAGUAGCGAAUAAUAUAAAAAAACAAAUAAAUAAAAUAUAACUAAGUAAAAGGGAACUUCUAUAUCAUGCUUAAAUUUUCUUGACCAUUUUCUUAAUGUGUAUUUGGCCAAGCUCAAUUCCUAAGGCAUAUGAACAAUUUAAUCACUAGUGGGCUUGAUCUUUCUCCCUCCUAUGAUCCAACAAUCAUUCAAACAAACAGAUAAGCCAGAAAAAAAAACGAGAUCCAAAUCACACGGGAACAGAGCCAGCAAAGUGACAUUAAGAUAAGUACAUGAUGGAUUAAAUUAUGAUAAGGGCCAAUUGGAGUUUCGCUAAAACUAUUUGCAGAUCACAUUCCUCAAUUUAAGGCACGAAUUGCGGCAAGAUUCCUCUAGCCUUAACCUCACUGAUAGCCAAGUUCACAUACUCAAGCAUUACAAAUUAACGUGACUAACAGAUGCAAGAAUGAGCAUGCUAAACCUUGACCAGUAAUUUUCUUUUAAAACCAAGGACACUUAAGGUGGACAAAGGAUAUUCAGUCAUGAAUUUCUAUCCAAAACACAGGAUAACCCCAUAAAAUGAGUAAUUCACUCAAUAUUCAAGAAAACAUCAUAUAUAUAUAUUAAGGGAGGUACUACUUCUGAGCAAUUCCAGAAUCAAACAAAAUUUAACCCGUUAAUACUUAAGCCUCAAACAGAUAUGAGCAUACUCAAAUAGUAAUAAAAUAACCCCAAAAAUCUUUUCAUAAUUUAAUCCAUCAUAUACAAAGUAAAGAGAAUAAGGGAAUAAAUGAACCUGAAAUAUAGGUCUCCACUUAAUAAAAGUUCAGCAACUACAAUCUUGAAUAGAACAGGUCGAACAAAGAGAUUCGGCGGGAUCAUCAAACAGAGAUCACGAACCAACGAUCCGAAACGCAGCGGCGACUCCAAAAAUUCAAACACCCCACUCGGCUUCACUCCAUUUCGAAUAAAAUCCGGAAGAGGAAGAAACCGAUUUUUUUUUAAUUUUUUUUUUGUAUUUUUGACUUUUUGUAAGACUGAAAACUGGAAGAGAUUGAUUUUUUUUGAUGUUUUAUAUAUGAAGACGAAACCAAACAGAAUCGAAGAACACCAAAAAAGAACUCUGAUUUUCGAAGGAGUUGAAAUUUACAGAACCAACUAAAAUCCAAAAACCUUCAAAAUUCCUCUCCAAUUUUCUCUUCGUUCUCCCCCCUUUUGUCCGAAAGAUCUCCAAAUAUAUAUCCCUCUGUCGAAUCUUCUACUUCUUCAACAAGCAAUUCCAGAACCGUGCGGACCCCCUUCGAGACCAAAAAUUCGAAAACCUUUUUUUGUAAACAAAAAAUCAAAAAAUGGAGGUCUUGGAUCAAAACCUUGAUUCAAUGGCUCCCAUUUUCUCAUCUUUUAUCCAAAGGCUUCGAAUUUGCUUUAAAAAAAGAUGAAAAAGAAAGGAAAAAUGCGUGAGAAUGAUGAGACUUGUACGGAGUGUGACGUGGAAGAAUGAGAGAAGAGAGGAGGGGACCAUUGAGUGAACUCGGCCGGUUCGUUGUGUUUUCCGGCGAGUCGAAGCGGGCAGCCAUGGAGGGGGGCACCGAUAUGUGUUCUUUUAGGUUAGAGUUUCUGGGGGAAGAUUAGGAUUUUAUAUGGUUAAGGGAAAAGAUGUGGGUCGUUGGAUUAGAAGAGAUAGACAGCCCAGAUUAGAGGGGGCAAAUG